AUGAUGCUCAUUGAUUUGUUGUGCAUGCACGUACUGCAGGUUGCUGCAAAGAAGCUCCGUACAAGGCUUUCACAGCUUGGUGCAAAAUCGAUCAUGGUGAUUGGAUUGGGAGAUGACCAAGACUCUUCAGGAUAUGAAAAAGCUCUAGGUCCUUGGCUGCUCUCUUUCUGGAAAUCACUGAAUCGAACAAAUCCGUCGCUUUUACCAAGAAUUCAGGCUCGUCCGCGUUGUGUCCGUGCACAUCAGCGCCUCUACCACAAACAUUCAGAAAAAAGAGGAUUCCCCUAG
rnacentral:rRNA from 1 species